CCACAGGGUUUGCUUGUUGUUUGGGUGGCCGAGUGCUUGGGUGACUAAAGGUUACUGCUGUAUGCCUCCCCACCCAUCCUGCUAACUCAGUAUUUGUUGAAUGUAGGGAUGAAGAUGCUGAUGAUGGACUUGGGAUAAGAGCACUCCAAAAUAAAGCUGCAAAAUUGCUCAGAGAUGUCUGCAGAGAUCUCUGGGAUUGCUUUCCUAAGAUUAGAUUCCUAAGAGGACCACUAAAGAGUUGUGAAGAGCUGGAAGUGGGACUGCACUGCCUGAAAUGUAAGUGUAAUUCCUGGUGAAAUAGAACAGAAAGCCCAGGUGUUUCAGAGGAAAGACAUGAAGGUCACCCAGUGUUGAGCACUAGGAUUCAUUCCGGGGCAUAUGCUGAAGGGAGCUUCACCAGCCAGCUCACACCAUCCCAGCAGCUCUGAAGGAAAGACUGCAUCCUCUCCCAUGUCUUGACCUUGCACUCCAAAGAACAUACGGGAGACUAUGUUCCUCAACUGUGCCCUCUUUGCCAUGGCUGGAGGCUAAGAACAAUGGCUUCUGUUGUGAGCUAGAAACAGAUUCUACCUUAAGGAUCACCAUCCCUCUAUCCAGCUGCAUCCCAUCACUCAUUACUUUAGCUGCCCUUGGUCUCCCUUGGCGCUUUUAGAGAACUGUUAAUGAAGCACUUUGGUUGCUCCUGUCACUGCUCAAAAGUCAUGAACUACUUCUGGGACCUACAGUUCAGAAACUCUGGGAAAAGAGGAAGGAGAAAUUUUCAAAUGCAGGAUGUGAUCUAGAUAACCACUGUGGCUUCUGGACCUGGUGUGCAGGGCAGCAUACUCGACCUGGGCUAGCCCCACCCAGCCAUCUGGAGUUCCUUCCUUGCAGGGUCAAGAGCACAGUGGCAGAGGGGAGGCAGCCUUGGGAAAGGAGACUGGGUGGAGGGGACCAAACACUGACUCACUCAGCCUUAACCAGCCUUCCUCCCUUUUCCACCCAUGAGUACAGUUGAUGAGCUCAAGUAAACUGCUUAUGGCCUCUGUUUCCUCUUUCCUUUCUGGCUAUUAUCACAGACUUUUGAGCAGAGAAAGGGUCACAGGGGAGAGCAACUCUCACGCAUUCUAGCUUUGAAGUUUUCUCCACAAGACCCUGAUAGAGCCUGACCCACUUCAGAAUUCUCCAGCGCCUCCCACAGCACCCAUCGCCCUUAAAAACUCCGCUCAAGUUUUCAUUAAAUUUCCAUUUCCUGGAUGUUUUACCAUGCUGAUUUAAAAAAUGUCCCUUGUGCUUUUACCUUCCUUUCCAAAGCUUUAUGUGUCUUCUGUACCAACUGUACCUAUCACAAAGCUACCAUCACACAGGACAUAAAAACAAGUACAGCUGUGACGCUCUUCAUUAAUGGGACUCCCAGAAAUCCUCAUGUGUCUCUGUUUGUCGCCUGCCUUUAUCCAGAUACACGUGAUCUUAGCUCAAACACUACUUGGUAUUCACUUAGUAUCAUAUACGAUGUAUCUUCUGUGUUUUUACAGUCUUUCGAUUUACAUUUGGUAACUAUCCAGAGUUCCAUGACUGAGGUAAGGUAUUAUGAGUUUCUCACCUUGAUAGAUACUUCCAUUAUUUCUAUUUUCCUCUUUCAUUAAAAAUGUUGUUUCAAAUCUUUUGAGUCAUGCCUUUAGAGUCUUAUUUCCAACAGUAGGAUUCCUGGGUUGAAGACAAACAUUUUUAUGGGCUUGCUAUGUACUAUCCAAUUAUUACUUUUCAAAAUGAUUUUGUUGGUGUACAGAGGUAGCUGGCUGUGCUCUGCAUAUGACGUACGUAGGCGUAUCUGUGGCUACACAACACUCACACGUUGACUCCUUUUCUUAACAGCACACCCGUGAAGGACAUGCCGUAAUUAACUUCACAAUUAUGGAGGAAGAAGUUGUGGGCACAGAGAUGAAGCACCUCAGUGUCAGAUGACAAUGUCCCUCGUGUGGCUUCACUUGAUUCAUGUACCCGCUAUACCCAGAAAAAACAGCCAUCUACCACCCAAGGAAGAGGCCUAAGGAGGAAUCAACCUGUGCAUACCUGGAUCUUGGACUUUUAUACAAGAAGAAGGCUGAAGCAAUUGUGAGAAAAAAAAAAGAGUUCUCAUAGAACUGUGAGAACAGUUUCUGCUGUUGAAGCCACACAGUCCAUGGUACUUUUCUAAUGGCAUUCUUAGCAAACUAGUACAGGGCAUCCAGGACCAACAGCACCUGAGUGUCAGUGGAAAGGGCUUUGGAGCAGGAGGCAUCCAGUGUGGAGGAGGUUCCAUUGUGGGGAGAUUGGGCUGUAGUGACCAGUGGCAAAGCAGGGGAGAUCUUGAAACGGGUGGGGCUUAUGUGUCAGCACUGAGCAGGCACUGAGGAUGUCUAGGCUCAUGUGAUGCUGCUUUAUCUUCAAGAGCUCCCUGGGUCUAGGUGGGAGAGGUAUACAGAUAAUGCUUAAAGGAGUAGUAAAUGCUAAGGGUGAAAGUGUGCAGAAGAGGCUGUGGAAGAAAGAAGGCAUGACCAGCCCACCCAGGAGAGGUCAGAUCAGUUGCUGAAGGCUCCAGUGGGAGGUUCAUGUGCUGAGCCUAAGAGGACAGAACCCCAGCAAGGUGGACCAAGAAGUGGGGUGAAGAGUCCGGGACCAUCUAGAAAGGCUUGCAGUAUCAGAAGAAAAGGGAAAUAUGUGUGAAAAAAUUACAGAAUAAAAAGAAAUGUUGACUUUGUAUCUGUGAACUCUAAGUUAUUUAGCACUCUUAGACCUCAGGGUGAGACUCGGAUGAGAAGAGACGGUGCAGGAAAAACAGGGAGGAAAUGCAGAAAACACACAAUUCUCUUCCUACAGUGCUGGACAGAUUUGAUUACUUGGAGGGAAGAGUGUAAACUAGGUAACCAUGGGGGCUACA